UACGUAGGGGGCAAGCGUUGUCCGGAAUCAUUGGGCGUAAAGAGCGUGUAGGCGGCCAGAAAAGUCCGCUGUGAAAACUCGAGGCUCAACUUCGAGCUGUCGGUGGAAACUUUCUGGCUAGAGUCCGGAAGAGGAGAGUGGAAUUCCUGGUGUAGCGGUGAAAUGCGCAGAUAUCAGGAAGAACACCCGUGGCUAAGGCGGCUCUCUAGUACGGUACUGACGCUGAGACGCGAAAGCGUGGGGAGCGAACAGG
rnacentral:rRNA from 1 species